rnacentral:lncRNA from 1 species
CGUGGGAAGCCUGGCAGCGCAUGGGACAGAACUCCUCUCAACACUGUCAGGCCACUUGCUCCUCAAAUUCCCCUUCAGGAAGUGGGAUGGUGAGAGGAGAAGAGACUUGGUGCUUCCCAUCCCUGCUGUUGAAUGGAGCCAGGCUUUCUUUGGACUGCAAGUAAAUUCACUGGGCCAGAUGCUCAGGCCAAGCCCCAGGGCUGCUUGUUCCUAGGAGGGAAAGGUAGAAGAUUCCUGAGUCUCCUUUUUCAGUGCAGAAAGGCAGAGGAUACAAGAGGAGAGCAUCAUUUUUAUGACAACAAGGAUGCAUCCUUUGCAAUUGUGACUUCCUUUGGCUGGGAUGUGGGAUGCUGUGGCCGUCCUGCUGUGUUUUCUGUCUUUCUCUGGGACAGCUGAAUAAUGUCCGUAGCCAGACAUAUGCUCAUGGCCUGGAAUGAAGUCGACUGCAAUUACAUCCUAAGGGAGUCACUCAACGGGGGUUUUGUGGAGGCAGGACGCAGGCUCUGGUGGAGCUGCACAUGUGCUGUUAGACCUCCAACUGCACUCACUCUGCCUGCAGCUUUGUGGGAGCGAGGAGCAGCAGGCUCAGAAAUACAGCAGUCUGGUGCACAUCUGGAGACAGUAAUUGGAGUGCCUGUCUCUGUGCUAGAUGAGGGCCUGUGGGGAGUUCAGGGAGUGCAGGUCUGGGCCGUGUAUCACUCUGUCCCCAGGACCAAGCUGGGAGAGGUCAGUACAUGUGCACAGCUCAGAGCAAUGCGCGCUGUGCUCCAAGGGUUGGUGGGGAGGGAUGGGAGGUUUGAAACCGUCACUGGUAUGGCUCAGGUUUGUCAGCAAAACACCAUGGUCCUGAAAUUUCAAGCCUGA